rnacentral:rRNA from 1 species
UACGUAGGGUGCAAGCGUUAAUCGGAAUUACUGGGCGUAAAGCGUGCGCAGGCGGUUAUGUAAGUCAGAUGUGAAAUCCCCGGGCUCAACCUGGGAAUGGCAUUUGAGACUGCAUGGCUAGAGUGUGUCAGAGGGGGGUAGAAUUCCACGUGUAGCAGUGAAAUGCGUAGAGAUGUGGAGGAACACCGAUGGCGAAGGCAGCCCCCUGGGUCAAGAUUGACGCUCAUGCACGAAAGCGUGGGGAGCAAACAGG